rnacentral:tRNA from 1 species
CAGGGAGACAACAAAAUGUUUAAUAUUAUUAUUUUGUCACCUUAGGUCGAUCGGUAUCUCACGUUUUUAAUUUAUUAAGAAUUUCAUUUCCUAAGUUUUUUCUAGGUCACACCCAUUAUUUUCCCUGGGCCAUUAGCUCAGGUGGUUAGAGCGCACCCCUGAUAAGGGUGAGGUCCCUGGUUCAAGUCCAGGAUGGCCCAUAUCUCUAUGUUGGGGGUAUAGCUCAGUUGGUAGAGCGCCUGCUUUGCAAGCAGGAUGUCAGCGGUUCGAGUCCGCUUACCUCCACUGAUUACCACCUCUUCCAUAAUUUAAAGAAGGGAAAUUAUUGAGUUGUGAUCAAAUUCUGAACGAAUCUAGCUUCCUAAUAAUCUUAUUAAGAUGCUGGACUCAUUGAAUUAAUUUUCAUUGUUUUCAGAGAACCUUGACAACUGCAUAGAUUAUUUUUAAAGACAAUAAGCAUCUUUAAUGAUGCAGAUUUUUUAUUUGUGCGAAUGCAUUAAAUAACAAUUCUAUUAAGCUGAUGCUUCAAAUUUAUUGAAGUUAUU